rnacentral:rRNA from 1 species
UACGUAGGGGGCUAGCGUUGUCCGGAAUCAUUGGGCGUAAAGAGCGUGUAGGCGGUCCGGUAAGUCCGCUGUGAAAGUCGGGGGCUCAACCCUCGAAUGCCGGUGGAUACUGUCGGGCUAGAGUGCGGAAGAGGCGAGUGGAAUUCCUGGUGUAGCGGUGAAAUGCGCAGAUAUCGGGAAGAACACCAGUGGCGAAGGCGGCUCUCUGGGACGGUACUGACGCUGAGACGCGAAAGCGUGGGGAGCAAACAGG